rnacentral:misc_RNA from 1 species
GAAAUUAGAACCUCUUCUUCUCUCUAGGAGGCGAUCAGCCAUAUUGUUUCCAACGCACGCGCCAUCAGGUCCACUACCUCUAUUUUAUUAUUGUAAAAUGAUUAUUAUAUCGUAUUUUUUUUAUGCCUCUGUGUUCAUUUCUGUUUUUAAUUUUUUCACAAUGCUUAUUUUAAUAUUAUCUAUCGCACAUGUUUUCUGUGCUUGCGUUCUGGAAUCUCUGUCCUUUGUCUCUUUAUCUACAUCUCCUUUAUAAUUACUUAAGAAUUCUAUAUGGUUUCUGUUGUUGCGUUCUCUGCUUUUGCUUGUAAUCGUCUUUUGCUUUCACUAAGCUGUUUGAUUUUCCUCUUAGCGCUUGUAUAUUUUGAAGGGAUUUUGAUUUUUGGAUAUUAACGUCGUCUUGAUUAGCAGUUAUUUGUGAAGGUAUGACUGGUAAUAACUUGCAAAUCACGGUUGAGAUUUGGUUUGAGACGAAUCCAAACUAUAUUAUUCGGGAUUCACGUAUUUUGUCCAAACUUCACAGAAAAAUCUGAAGCUUUUUCUGUGAUGUUUGGGUUAUGCUCUUUGCCUUGAGAAACUCGAAUUUAAGCAAUUAAAUUACUUUGAUAAUAUCAAGUUAUCAAAGUUUUGAUGUGGGGGUUUUUACUUUGACACUAUAUAUGUCGUUAUGUUCAUAAAUGUAUAAAAAAUUAUAAUUUUAAAUCGACCUCAGUUACCUUAAUAAAUGUGGAUUUAAAAUAUGUAUGAAAAUUAUAAUUUGACAUCCACCCUGUGCAAGCUCUCAACAGUAUACAUAAAUAAAGUAUUCAUUUGCAAAUCAAAUUUUGAUUAAAACAAUUUUAACGAAAUUAAAUUGUUUAGUUCAAAGUGUAUCAUUCGUUCUUCAUCUUGUGCGUUAUGUUGUGUCUCCUUGCUGUUUUUUUUAAUGAUUUUACAUUCUGAUAGAGCUUUUAAGGGCAGAAAACCUUUUUCCCCCUUUCGCUAAGCUCUAAUAAUCAUAAUAUCUUAAUGAUUUUCAUGGAUUUCGAAUAACAAAACGAUCAAUGUUUACACUAUCCAGGAGUAAACAAAUCCCAUAAAAUCUUGUUAAAAUGGCUUUCCUAUUCAGAUUGGAACAUUAUAUGCUUGUAGAAUUUUUGAAGCUUUACUCUCUCUGCAUCUUGUGGUUUGUCUCACCUAAUAAAUUCAAGUUUUUACGUAGCUAUUGUGUUAAUUCUUGCUGCAGUGAUAUGAAAACCCUAUUCCAAAGUUAAGAUUGUUGUGUCCGAUAUGGAACUUUCAAAUGCAUAUUGGUUGACAAAUCCCAUUAAUCCAUGUAGGGAAGGCUUUGUGAUUUAGGUUGCUAGACUCUAUGUUUGUUGAGUUUGGAUUCUUCACUUAGUUCACUUGUUAUUUAUAACCAACGCUGAAUUUUCAAAUGCAUAAAUCAUAUGAUAGUUGGAUAUUAGUGGUCUUUUUAUACUGCUUUGCAGGUAAACUACUUUCUGCUUCAUAAGUAGCUACAAAAUGGCAGAUGGCCAUGAGAUUGAUAAAAACAUCGAGAUAUGGAAGAUUAAAAAGCUUAUAAAAGCUCUGGAAGCUGCUCGAGGCAAUGGCACAAGCAUGAUUUCUCUCAUCAUGCCUCCUCGCGAUCAGAUAUCCCGUGUUACUAAGAUGCUUGGUGAUGAGUUUGGAACUGCUUCAAACAUUAAAAGCAGGGUCAAUCGUCAGUCCGUGUUAGGUGCAAUUACUUCUGCUCAGCAAAGGCUCAAACUGUACAACAAGGUUCCUCCAAAUGGUCUUGUGCUUUACACGGGAACAAUUGUUACUGAAGAUGGAAAGGAAAAGAAGGUGACAAUCGACUUUGAGCCUUUUAGGCCCAUAAAUGCAUCUCUGUACCUGUGUGACAACAAGUUCCAUACGGAAGCUCUAAAUGAGCUUUUGGAAUCUGAUGACAAGUUUGGCUUUAUUGUGAUGGAUGGUAAUGGAACCCUUUUUGGUACUCUAAGUGGUAACACGCGAGAGGUCCUCCAUAAAUUUACUGUUGACCUGCCAAAGAAGCAUGGGAGAGGAGGGCAGUCAGCUCUUCGAUUUGCUCGACUUCGAAUGGAGAAGCGCCACAACUAUGUAAGGAAGACAGCAGAACUUGCCACACAGUUUUUUAUUAAUCCUGCCACCAGCCAGCCUAAUGUUGCAGGAUUAAUUCUUGCUGGAUCUGCUGACUUCAAGACUGAGCUGAGUCAGUCUGAUAUGUUUGAUCCUCGACUUCAGGCUAAAAUUCUGAAUGUGGUUGAUGUUUCAUAUGGGGGUGAAAAUGGUUUUAAUCAGGCAAUUGAGCUGUCAUCAGAAAUUCUAUCCAACGUGAAGUUUGUACAGGAAAAACGCUUGAUUGGUAAGUACUUUGAGGAGAUUAGCCAGGAUACUGGGAAAUAUGUUUUCGGUGUGGAUGACACGCUGAAAGCUCUAGAGAUGGGUGCUGUUGAGACUCUCAUCGUGUGGGAAAAUUUGGACAUCAGUAGGUAUGUGUUGAAAAACAGCGUCACUGGUGAGAUUGUCAUAAAACAUUUGAAUAAGGAGCAGGAGGCUAAUCAGGACAACUUUAAGGAUUCAUCAAGUUCUGUUGAACUGGAAGUUCAGGAAAAGAUGCCGCUGCUUGAGUGGUUUGCUAAUGAGUACAAGAGGUUUGGUUGCACUCUUGAGUUUGUUACCAAUAAAUCACAAGAAGGAUCCCAGUUUUGCAGAGGGUUCGGUGGGAUUGGCGGGAUUCUUCGUUACCAGCUUGAUAUGAGAGAUUUUGAUGAGCUUUCUGAUGAUGAAGUUUUUGAUGAUUCUGAAUAGCAAUCAGCCAACUCUACCCCAUUGCUGGUGCAGGAGAAUGGGGUAAAAGAGCCUGCGCCAGUACACAGCACACGACAUGUCGUUCGGUGCUGCUUGAUACUAGAAAGAUUGGACACAGUGCUAAUUGAGGGGAUCAUGAUAUUUCUGUGUCAGCAAGCUUAAUGUGGCGAGGAUCCUUGGUUUUCAUGAUGUAGCAGCUGGAUAUUCUAUGCAAGUGAAAAUUACCCUUGUUUCAUUACAUCUACAGUUUGGCCUGAGUGUAAGAAGCUGCUGGAUCAGCAUGGUCGAUGUCUAGGUGAAGACUGCAGAUUUUUGCAUCAGCAUAAGACCUUAAUAUAGUUAUGGUUGGUGAAAACUCCUAGUUACUCUUGAAGGAGUAUUUUUAUAGUUGUGGUGUUGUCUCUAUAAUAAGUUGAUACUCGUGGAGGUUGUGUUGAUAAAUCCAUGACUUUCAGAGCUCAGUUUGGCAUGUUUCUAGUUUAUUUGAUGUUAGUUGCCCCAUGCUAAGUUAGAAAAAGUGUCUGCUUGAGGUUAGUUUUUUUAAUUAUUUUUGUGCUGUAUCUUUUGGUUGGAAUGAACAUCUUAGGUUUGACCUUGAGGUCCUGAUUCAUUUACUGAGCUUGGCCUAAUUGCAUAUCACAACAUUUUAGUAUGAUUACAAGCGCUAAAGAUAUAUAUUUCAAAACCAACACGUUGAGGAGGGACGCCAUUAUUCGGUUUAGCGGGCAAGGGUUUGGGACUAUAUUUUCGGUCUGUGCUUCGCCUUUUUGAGGAUUUGUGGGAGCUUUGGCCCGCUUGUUGUAGCGAAAAGCCUUUGUUGGUUAAAUUAUGUUGUGUGUUCCAGAGUGAAGGUUGCGAAGGGGGUUACUGUUAGGAGAAUUGAUCCAUCAAAGUGUUCGCCAACAGCUGGGAAAGGUGUUAUUUCUUUUUCUACUUCUGUGUAUUUGAAUUCUAGGAAACGGUUUUUCUCUUAUCAAAAUCUGCCUGGCAAAUUUGACCCAAAAUAAAAACAAAAACAAAAUAUUCGGACAAUAAUGAUUGUAA